GAUGAAGAACGCAGCGAAAUGCGAUAAGUAAUGUGAAUUGCAGAAUUCAGUGAAUCAUCGAAUCUUUGAACGCACAUUGCGCCCCCUGGUAUUCCGGGGGGCAUGCCUGUUCGAGCGUCAUUUCACCACUCAAGCCUCGCUUGGUAUUGGGCAACGCGGUCCGCCGCGUGCCUCAAAUCGACCGGCUGGGUCUUCUGUCCCCUAAGCGUUGUGGAAACUAUUCGCUAAAGGGUGUUCGGGAGGCUACGCCGUAAAACAACCCCAUUUUUAAGGUUGACCUCGGAUCAGGUAGGGAUACCCGCUGAACUUAAGCAUAUCAAUAAGCGGAGGA
rnacentral:misc_RNA from 1 species